UACGAAGGGGGCUAGCGUUGCUCGGAAUCACUGGGCGUAAAGCGCACGUAGGCGGCUUUCUAAGUCAGGGGUGAAAUCCUGGAGCUCAACUCCAGAACUGCCUUUGAUACUGGAGAGCUUGAGUCCGGGAGAGGUGAGUGGAACUCCGAGUGUAGAGGUGAAAUUCGUAGAUAUUGGGAAGAACACCGGUGGCGAAGGCGGCGACCUGGUCCGAUACUGACGCUGAGGCGCGAAAGCGUGGGGAGCAAACAGG
rnacentral:rRNA from 1 species